AAUCUUCCACAAUGGGCGAAAGCCUGAUGGAGCAACGCCGCGUGGGUGAAGAAGGUCUUCGGAUCGUAAAACCCUGUUGUUAGAGAAGAAAGUGCGUGAGAGUAACUGUUCACGUUUCGACGGUAUCUAACCAGAAAGCCACGGCUAACUACGUGCCAGCAGCCGCGGUAAUACGUAGGUGGCAAGCGUUAGCCGGAUGUAUUGGGCGUAAAGGGAACGCAGGCGGUCUUUUAAGUCUGAUGUGAAAGCCUUCGGCUUAACCGGAGUAGUGCAUUGGAAACUGGGAGACUUGAGUGCAGAAGAGGAGAGUGGAACUCCAUGUGUAGCGGUGAAAUGCGUAGAUAUAUGGAAGAACACCAGUGGCGAAAGCGGCUCUCUGGUCUGUAACUGACGCUGAGGUUCGAAAGCGUGGGUAGCAAACAGG
rnacentral:rRNA from 1 species